AACGGGAGUAGAACAACAGGGAUUGCCCCAGUAACGGCGAGUGAAGCGGCAACAGCUCAAAUUUGAAAUCUGGCCCCCAGGGUCCGAGUUGUAAUUUGCAGAGGAUGCUUUGGGCGAGGUGCCUUCCGAGUUCCCUGGAACGGGACGCCACAGAGGGUGAGAGCCCCGUCUGGUCGGACACCGAGCCUGUGUAAAGCUCCUUCGACGAGUCGAGUAGUUUGGGAAUGCUGCUCAAAAUGGGAGGUAUAUGUCUUCUAAAGCUAAAUAUUGGCCAGAGACCGAUAGCGCACAAGUAGAGUGAUCGAAAGAUGAAAAGCACUUUGAAAAGAGGGUUAAAAAGUACGUGAAAUUGUUGAAAGGGAAGCGCCUAUGACCAGACUUGGGCCCGGUGAAUCACCCAGCGUUCUCGCUGGUGCACUUUGCCGGGCACAGGCCAGCAUCAGUUUGGCGCGGGGGACAAAGGCUUCGGGAAUGUGGCUCCCCCGGGAGUGUUAUAGCCCGCUGCGCAAUACCCUGCGCCGGACUGAGGUACGCGCAUCGCAAGGAUGCUGGCGUAAUGGUCAUCAGCGACCCGUCUUGAAACACGGACCAAGGAGUCGUCUUCGUAUGCGAGUGUUCGGGUGUCAAACCCCUACGCGUAAUGAAAGUGAACGCAGGUGAGAGCUUCGGCGCAUCAUCGACCGAUCCUGAUGUUCUCGGAUGGAUUUGAGUAAGAGCAUACGGGGCCGGACCCGAAAGAAGGUGAACUAUGCCUGUAUAGGGUGAAGCCAGAGGAAACUCUGGUGGAGGCUCGCAGCGGUUCUGACGUGCGAAUCGAUCGUCAAAUAUGGGCAUGGGGGCGAAAGACUAAUCGAACCUUCUAGUAGCUGGUUUCCGCCGA
rnacentral:rRNA from 1 species